AUUGAACGCUGGCGGCAGGCCUAACACAUGCAAGUCGAGCGGAGCGGCCGACGGGUGGGUAAUGCCUAGGAAUCUGCCUGGUCGUUGGGGAUAACGUCCGGAAACGGGAGCUAAUACCGCAUACUAUCAGAUGAGCCUCGGUCGCAUUAGCGAGUUGGGGGGGUAAAGGCCUACCAAGGCGACGAUCCGUAACUGGUCUGAGAGGCUGAUCAGUCACACUGGAACUGAGACACGGUCCAGACUCCUACGGGAGGCAGCAGUGGGGAAUAUUGGACAAUGGGCGAAAGCCUGAUCCAGCCAUGCCGCGUGUGUGAAGAAGGUCUUCGGAUUGUAAAGCACUUUAAGUUGGGAAGCGGUACCAACACAAUAAGCACCGGCUAACUCCGUGCCAGCAGCCGCGGUAAUUC
rnacentral:rRNA from 1 species